rnacentral:lncRNA from 1 species
UUUCCCCUUUCCUUCCCAUGCCGAUGUGCACGCUCACCGACGACCGGAGUCGUCGGAUUUUGUUGCGGAAGAAACCUCUAUUUUUGCCCAUUUUUCUUCAAUUUUUCGACGCCGGUGGUCACCGCCGACCAUUGGUUUGAUCCCUCCGGGCCAUAGGAUCGUCGGCCCUUGUCGCCGGCCACUGUCAUGACGGCUGCGGCCCUUGAUCAGCCGAGCAAAGGAGGGGACCACAUGGUCACCUGUUUCAGCCCAAGACAACCGUGGGAAGAAGAAA